rnacentral:lncRNA from 1 species
GCCUGCAGCUUCCUAAGGUGAAUGGAGAGUGCUCCUGAGUCUUGUCCCAGGCGUUUGUUGCCACCAAUAGAAAUUCCUCCGUUUCCCAGCCAGCGGAUUCCAGCUGUGUUGUCCGAAUUGAGGAAACCUGAUUCUUCCCUACAGGAAUUAUUUGUAGAGUGUAAAUAUGCUAAUGUUAAGUAAGACAGCAGGAGCUAUUCCGAGACCACCAAGGAGUAACGUUCGUGGAUUUAUAAGAAGAUUUAAUGUUCAACCUAGAGCACUUUUUCAUCAUAAACUGGUGCUGGGAAUUGAAACCAGCUGUGAUGACACAGCAGCUGCUGUGGUGGAUGAAACUGGAAAUGUGCUGGGAGAAGCACUGCACUCCCAGACGGAAGUCCAUCUGAAGUGGCAAGAAGACUUUCUUUAAUCAAACAUCCAGAAUGUUCUACAAUGAGUGGUGGGAAAGCUAUAGAACAUUUGGCCAAAGAAGGAAAUAGAUUCCACUUUACUAUCAAUCCACCCAUGCAGAAUGCUAAGAACUGUGAUUUUUCUUUUACGGGACUUCAACAUGUCACCGAUAAGCUAAUAACACACAAGGAAAAAGAAGAAGGCAUUGAGAAGGGGCAAAUCCUGUCAUCAGCCGCAGACAUUGCUGCUGCGGUACAGCACGCAACAGCGUGCCACCUUGCGAAAAGAACACAUCGUGCUAUUCUGUUUUGCCAGCAGAAAAAUUUGCUAUCUCCAGCUAACGCAGUAUUAGUUGUGUCUGGAGGUGUUGCAAGUAACUUGUACAUCCGAAGAGCAUUGGAAAUUGUAGCAAAUGCAACACAAUGCACUUUGUUGUGUCCCCCUCCGAGACUGUGCACUGACAAUGGUAUCAUGAUUGCAUGGAAUGGAAUUGAAAGAUUACGUGCUGGCUUGGGCAUUUUACAUGAUGUAGAAGACAUCCGAUACGAACCAAAAUGUCCUCUCGGAAUAGACAUAUCCAGAGAAGUUGCAGAAGCUGCCAUAAAAGUACCACGAUUAAAAAUGACACUUUGAUUUGUGACUGUAAAGGUCUCUACAGGUAAUAUUUUAAACAAUAAAAUUAAGUUUUAAGGUU